rnacentral:lncRNA from 1 species
GUUACAAUAGAAAUGAGCGCAAAACAAGAUAAACAGAAUACAACAAGGCCUAAAUGGUAAGACCACUUCUAUAUACUGUAAAUUCAGAUUUUUCAGGGAAGGGACAACUUAUUGUGAUUACAAAAAAAAUCUGCAUAAAGAUCUAUAUAGUUACAUGAUAUAUAUAUAUAUAUAUAUAUGUUUCUGUUUUUGCGAUACUCACCCAGUCACAUUAUUCGCAUUACUAAAAAGUUUCGAUAAUUUCUGAAUUACAGUAAUAAAAGAAAUUGCCUUUGAAUGAUGACUCAUAUAAAAAUAAGAAAAUGUGGUAUGGUAAAUGAGUGACUUAUCCACCAGAGUUCAAUGAAGCGGAUGCAAGAAAUUAAAGGCCAAUCAUGGGCCUGCCUUCAAUAAUGAGAAAAACACUUCCUUUAUAGGUCAUCCAUUAAAGAUCUCAACAUAUAAAGAUUUAAACAAUCCAAUUUAGUUCAACAUGUUCAAAGUCAAUAACAAUUAAUAAAAAAAAAUCAUGCCUAAUAUAAAAUAUUGUUUGUUUCUCCAAUCCUGACCGACCCUGCAAAAAUGGCCCUACUCAUAAAAUUUUAUUGUCAAAACUAAGCCAAAUAUUAUUUUAUUCAUUUCUGAUUUUCGGGCUUGCCGGAUCAUCCGAUAAUAUUCAGGCUUUUGGGAAAAAUAAAAUUAUUUACCUACCUACCUACCCACACCUGGCUUGUCAGAAUAGGGAUUAGGGAAAAAAAACAAUAUAUUAAUUUAGGCCUCAUGUCUGUGAGCACUCAACCUGACCAUAAUAUAGGACAGUGGUUCAAAUAUUAACACAACAUAUGAACAUUCUAUAACAACUAUUGCAAGUGGCUCAACUUUAAAUAUCACUGCAAGGCACUAAACAACGAAUAUUAAAUCUUGGACACAAAGCACUGAAAUAAGAGAACUCAUAAGCAUGACAAGUAAGAAUAUCAAAUGAAAGUUUCUCAAAAUGUUCAUUAAAACAUGAUAAAAUAAGCUUAUUUAUAUUGCUGUUUUUUUCUCCAUUUAUAACAUUUUUUUUUUAUUUUGUGUAUUUAUAGGUCAGAUAUAUCUUGGUUUUUAUGAUCAUCAACAGGUCCUGCAGGUCUAUACUGAAGAGGAAACUUAAUUGUUAAUACUUUUCUACAUAAUGUGCUAAUUGGAUUAUUAAUGUGAAAUGAACUCAACUGUGUGUUUUUCUGGAAAAAGAAAUAGAAAAAAUCCUACAAAAUUGCUAUAAACAAAAUGG